UGGGGAAUAUUGCACAAUGGAGGGAACUCUGAUGCAGCGACGCCGCGUGAGUGAUGAAGGAAUUCGUUUCGUAAAACUCUGUUCUAUGGGAAGAAAAGGACUGUACCAUAGGAGAAAGCUCCGGCUAAAUACGUGCCAGCAGCCGCGGUAAUACGUAUGGAGCGAGCGUUGUCCGGAAUUAUUGGGCGUAAAGGGUGCGCAGGCGGCUUUACAAGUUGGAUGUGAAAUAUUGUGGCUCAACCACAAACGUGCAUCCAAAACUGCAAAGCUUGAGCUAAGGAGAGGUAAGUGGAAUUCCUGGUGUAGCGGUGGAAUGCGUAGAUAUCAGGAGGAAUACCGGUGGCGAAGGCGACUUACUGAACUUAAACUGACGCUCAGGCACGAAAGCGUGGGGAGCAAACAGG
rnacentral:rRNA from 1 species